rnacentral:rRNA from 1 species
AACGAACGCUGGCGGCAUGCCUAACACAUGCAAGUCGAACGAGACCUUCGGGUCUAUUGGCGCACGUGUGCGUAACGCGUGGGAACCUGCCCUUAGGUUCGGAAUAACUCCCCGAAAGGUGUGCUAAUACCGGAUAAUGUCUUCGGACCAAAGAUUUAUCGCCUUUGGAUGGGCCCGCGUUGGAUUAGCUAGUUGGUAGGGUAAAAGCCUACCAAGGCGACGAUCCAUAGCUGGUCUGAGAGGAUGAUCAGCCACACUGGGACUGAGACACGGCCCAGACUCCUACGGAAGGCAGCAGUAGAGAAUAUUGGACGCUGGGCGAAAGUCUGACAAAGCAAUGCCGCGUGAGUGAUGAAGGCCUUAGGGUUGUAAAGCUCUUUUACCCGGGAUGAUAAUGACAGUAACGGGAGAAUAAGCUCCGGCUAACUACGUG